GUAUUAAUUGCGUGUGAUCGCAAAAAGAAAAACAUUCUACACUGUAUCGAGUUUGUGUGAAAACGUGAGCCCCCGAAAGGGGACCCACGCGGUGAUGCACAAAGGGUGAGAUGGAUUAUUAUGUGAGGAAACACACCCGGGCGUGCACGACAUUGAGUCAGCGACAGCCCUUGCAUGCCCCUCACAUUUUGUACGAUAAUGAUCCUUCCGCAGGUUCACCUACGGAAA
rnacentral:misc_RNA from 1 species